AACGAACGCUGGCGGCAUGCCUAACACAUGCAAGUCGAACGAUACCUUCGGGUCUAGUGGCGCACGGGUGCGUAACGCGUGGGAACCUGCCCUUAGGUUCGGAAUAACUCCCCGAAAGGGGUGCUAAUACCGGAUAAUGUCUUCGGACCAAAGAUUUAUCGCCUUUGGGUGGGCCCGCGUUGGAUUAGCUAGUUGGUAGGGUAAAAGCCUACCAAGGCGACGAUCCAUAGCUGGUCUGAGAGGAUGAUCAGCCACACUGGGACUGAGACACGGCCCAGACUCCUACGGGAGGCAGGAGUGGGGGAUAUUGGACAAUGGGCGGAAGGCUGAUCCAGCAAUGCCGCGUGAGUGAUGAAGGCCUUAGGGUUGUAAAGCUCUUUUACCCGGGAUGAUAAUGACAGUACCGGGAGAAUAAGCUCCGGCUAACUCCGUG
rnacentral:rRNA from 1 species